rnacentral:lncRNA from 1 species
GGUUUAAGGUUUUUGGCGUUAGGGUUAAAAUGACUGUCCAAUAUUUUUAAGGAACAUCUUUCAGACCUUUGGGAGUUAGUUAGACAAAAAAAAAGAAAAAGAAAAAAAAUAUAUUUGGGGUGUUCAAGCUUCCUAAAGGUAAUACCCGGGUAUUAGGUUAUGGGGCUAGGGUAAGGUUUAAGGUUUUUGGUGUUAGGGUUAAAAUCAAUGUCCAAAACCUUUGUAGGAACUCUUUUCCAACCUUUGAGAGCAAGUUAGACCAAAAAAAAAGAAAAAUAAAAAAUAUAUAUUUGGGGUGUUCGGGCUUCCUGAAGGUAAUACCCGGGUAUUAGGUUUUGGGGCUAGUGUUAGGUUUAAGGUUUUUGGCGUUAGGGUUAAAAUAACUGUCCAAAACCUUUGUAGGAACUCUUUUCCAACCUUUGGGAAUUAGUUAGACAAAAAAAAAGAUAAAUGAAAAAAAAAAUAUUUGGGGUGUACGGGCUUCCUGAAGGAAAUAUUAGGUUUUGGGGCUAGGGUAGGUUUAAGGUUUUUGGCGUUAGGGUUAAAAUGACUGUCCAAUAUUUUUAAGGAACAUCUUUCAGACCUUUGGGAGUUAGUUAGACAAAAAAAAAGAAAAAGAAAAAAAAUAUAUUUGGGGUGUUCGGGUUUCCUGAAGGUAAUACCCGGGUAUUAGGUUAUGGGGCUAGGGUAAGGUUUAAGGUUUUUGGCGUUAGGGUUAAAAUCACUGUCCAAAACCUUUGUAGGAACUCUUUUCCAACCUUUGGGAAUUAGUUAGACAAAAAAAAAAGAUAAAUGAAAAAAAAAAUAUUUGGGGUCUUCGGGUUUCCUGAAGGAAUUAGGUUUUGGGGCUAGGGUAAGGUUUAAGGUUUUUGGCGUUAGGGUUAAAAUCACUGUCCAAUAUUUUUUAAGGAACAUGUUUCAGACCUUUGGGAGUUAGUUAGACAAAAAAAAAAAAAAAAAAAAAAAUAUAUUUGGGGUGUUCGGGCUUCCUGAAGGUAAUACCCGGGUAUUAGGUAAUGGGGCUAGGGUAAGGUUUAAGGUUUUUGGCGUGAGGGUUAAAAUCACUGUCCAAAACCUUUUUAGGAACAUGUUUAAGACCUUUUGGAGUUGGUUACACCAAAAAAAAAUGUAAAAUGAAAAAAAAUAUAUUUGGGGUGUUCGGGCUUCCUGAAGGUAAUACCCGGGUAUUAGGUUAUGGGGCUAGGGUAAGGUUUAAGGUUUUUGGCGUUAGGGUUAAAAUCACUGUCCAAAACCUUUUUAGGAACAUGUUUCAGACUUUUUGGAGUUGGUUACACCAAAAAAAAAUGUAAAAUGAAAAAAACUUUUUUGGGUGUUCGGGCUUCCUGAAGGUAAUACUAAGUUUUUGGGCUAGGGUAAUGUUUAAGGUUUUUGGUGUUAGGGUUAAAAUCAAUGUCCAAAACCUUUGUAGGAACUCUUUUCCAACAUUUGAGAGCAAGUUAGACCAAAACAAAAAGAAAAAUAAAAAAUAUAUAUUUGGGGUGUUCGGGCUUCCUGAAGGUAAUACCCGGGUAUUAGGUUAUGGGGCUAGGGUAAGGUUUAAGGUUUUUGGCGUUAGGGUUAAAAUCACUGUCCAAAACCUUUGUAGGAACUCUUUUCCAACCUUUGGGAAUAAGUUAGACAAAAAAAUAAGA